GGCCAAGCUACAAAGUGCAUAUAGUGGAUGCCUUGGCGGACGCCGUUGAUGAAGGACGUGGUAAGCUGCGAUAAGCUGCGGGGAGGCGCAAACAGCCUUUGAUCCGCAGAUUUCCGAAUGGGGAAACCCUCAUGGCCGUGAGGUCAUGAAUCUCUUGCUGAAUUCAUAGGUGAGAGAGGACAACCCGGGGAAGUGAAACAUCUCAGUACCCGGAGGAACAGAAAUCAAACGAGAUUCCCCUAGUAGUGGCGAGCGAACGGGGAAUAGCCUAAACGAAUCGGGUGCAAACUCGGUUCGGGUUGUAGGGCUUAUCAGACCGUAAGGUCGGAAAGUCAAAAAUCGGUCUUCUAGUUGAAUGGCUUGGAAAAGCCAGCCAUAGAAGGUGACAGCCCUGUAAGCGAAAGGGGACCGACUUUCUGGAUAAGUUCCUGAGUACCAUCGGGCACGUGAAAUCCGGUGGGAAUCUGGGGAGACCACUCUCCAAGGCUAAAUAUGAGCGUUCGACCGAUAGUGAACCAGUACCGCGAGGGAAAGGUGAAAAGUACCCCUGACGGGGAGUGAAAAGUACCUGAAACUGUAUGCAUACAAGCAAUUCGAGCCCUAUGCUGUUUCCGCAAGGGAACAGAAUGGGUAAGAGUGUGCCUGUUGAAGAAUGAUCCGGCGAGUUAUUGACAGUAGCAAGGUUAACCAGGUUGUGAAUAGCAGCCCGGGAAGCCGCAGCGAAAGCGAGUCUGAAUAGGGCGUCUAGUUGCUGUUAAUAGACCCGAAGCCAAGUGAUCUAACCCUGUCCAGGGUGAAGCCACCUUAGUCGGUGGUGGAGGCCCGAAGUGUUGAGUGUUGAAAAACUCCUACAUGAGGUGGGGUUAGGGGUGAAAGGCUAAUCGAACUUGGUGAUAGCUGGUUCUCCCCGAAAUAGCUUUAGGGCUAGCCUAAUGCGAUGACGCGAGGAGGUAGAGCACUGGAUAGUGUAGGGCUGAUAACCUCGGUUCCGAAGCUAACCAAACUCCGAAUACCUCGCGGGAAGCAUUGGAGUCAGUACACGAGGGCUAAGCUUCGUGGGCAAGAGGGGAACAUCCCAGAACGUCGAUCUAGGUCCCAAAGUCUGAGCUAAGUGGUAAAGGUAGUGGAUUUGCUGAAACAGCUGGGAGGUUGGCUUAGAAGCAGCCAUCCUUUAAAGAGUGCGUAACAGCUCACCAGUCAAGCGAGUCUGCGCCGAAAAUGAUCGGGGCUAAAGCUCAGCACCGCAAUCACGUCUAUGAUCUGUCUACGGAUGGAUUAUGGGGUAGGGGAGCGUUCUAGAUGGGACGAAGGUGUACCGUGAGGAGCACUGGACCGUCUAGAAGUGAGAAUGUCGGAAUAAGUAGCGAUAAGACGGGUGAGAUUCCCGUCCGCCGUAAACCUAAGGUUUCCUUGAGCAACGUUCGUCGGCUCAGGGUUAGUCGGUCCUAAGUCGAGGCCGAAAGGCGUAGAUGAAGGGCAUCCGGUUAAUAUUCCGGAACCAUGGUAGAGCGUUAUCACCUAAGGGGGGACGUAGAAGAGUAAGCCAUCCUACGACUGGAUGUGUAGGUUUAAGGAGGUAGGCAUUUCCCGGUAGGCAAAUCCGCCGGGAUAGCCGAGAUCCGAGCACGACUGCGGGGAAACCCGCGGGAAGUGGCCCAAUCACGCUGCCAAGAAAAACCCCGUAGGGAGUGUCUAUCAUGUCCGUACCGCAAUCCGACACAGGUAGGUGAGGAGAAAAUCCUAAGGCGCGCGAGUGAACUCUGGUUAAGGAACUAGGCAAACUGGUCCCGUAACUUCGGAAGAAGGGAUGCCUGGAGGCCUGACUCUGUACAAGGGAAGGGUUUCCGGGUCGCAGUGAAUGGGCUCUCGUGACUGUUUAACAAAAACACAGGCCUCUGCUUAAAACACAAGUUGAUGUAUAGGGGCUGAUGCCUGCCCGGUGCUGGAAGGUCACGGGGAUACGUUAGUGCGGCGCAAGCCGUGCAAAGCGUUGAACCUAAGCCCCAGUAAACGGCGGCCGUAACUAUAACGGUCCUAAGGUAGCGAAAUUCCUUGUCGGGUAAGUUCCGACCUGCACGAAUGGCAUAACAAAGAGAGCGCUGUCUCAACCAGAGGCUCGGUGAAAUUGGGGUGCAAGUGAAGACGCUUGCUACCCGCGGUUAGACGAAAAGACCCCGUGGAGCUUUACUGUAUCUUGGCACGGAAUUACGGGAUUGGAUACGUAGGAUAGGUGGGAGGCUUUGAAGUCCUUCUUUCGGGAGGGAUGGAGCCAACCUUGAAAUACCACCUUUCUGGUUUUGUGAUUCUAACUUCGUCCCUUCUAACAGGGCGAAAGACACUGCCAGGCGGGCAGUUUAACUGGGGCGGUUGCCUCCUAAAUUGUAACGGAGGCGUUCAAAGGUUCCCUCAGCGCGUAUAGAAAUCGCGCAUCGCGUGCAAGGGCAGAAGGGAGCUUGACUGCGAGACCUACAAGUCGAGCAGGUGCGAAAGCAGGACCUAGUGAUCCGGCGGUUGAAAGUGGAAUUGCCGUCGCUCAACGAAUAAAAGCUACCCCGGGGAUAACAGGCUUAUCGGAUCCAAGAGUCCAUAUCGACGAUCCGGUUUGGCACCUCGAUGUCGGCUCAUCGCAUCCUCCCGCUGAAGUAGGUGGGAAGGGUUUGGCUGUUCGCCAAUUAAAGCGGUACGUGAGCUGGGUUCAGUACGUCGUGAGACAGUACGGUCUCUAUCUACCGUGGGCGAAGGAAUCUUGAAGGGAUCUGUCCCUAGUACGAGAGGGCCGGGAUGGACGAACCUCUGGUGUACCAGUUGUUCCGCCAGGAGCAUCGCUGGGUAGCUAAGUUCGGAUCGGAUAAACGCUGAAUGCAUCUAAGCGUGAAACCGACCCUAAGAUGAGGAUUCCCGUCCUCACACGCAAGUGUGAGGGCCUAAAGACCCGCAGAAGACUACUGCGUUGAUAGGCUGGACGUCGAAGCGUUGCAAGACGUGGAGCGAACCAGUACUAAUUGGUCGUGCGGCUUGGCCGU
rnacentral:rRNA from 1 species